rnacentral:lncRNA from 1 species
GGACCAUGGCAGCUUCCACAGCAUCUGGGGGUUUGCCCUGCUUAUCCUGUGCCAGCAUCUGCAUGUUCUGGAAGAGGGUUUUGCAUUUUCGAGAGACGCUUGGCGCCCCAACGCUUCUCCUAGGCCCAUUCUGAAAAGAGGUGUCCAUACCCUCCAGAGCCACGGAGUUGCAGUGGCAAUAGAAGCCCAGGAAGAGAGACUACAUCGGCAUGCCUACAAUGCUGAUGAUGGCAUGGAGCCAGGAGAAAGGAUGAGAUGGAAGAUGUGAAGAGUGUCGGGCCAUGGACUAGAUGGAGAUGGAAGAAAAUGUCAGAAAGGAUGCAGUGGAGGACUCCCUUCUUUUUACAUACUAUGGAAGAGCUGAAUGUGGCAACUAGUACCUCUCUUCCAUUGCCCUCACAGUUUUGGAUUUCCAGAGGUUUCUAGAUUGCCCUUCAAUGCCAGUGGUAUUCAUCAAUGAACAUUCAGAAAAGUUUUGAAAACAACAAACAGUAAGUCAAGGAGUAUCUGGCACCUGGGACCAAAUUCUGCUUGAAAAAGAUUACUUCAUUCCUUAAGGUUCAGUUUGCCAACUGUAAAAUUGAGAUGGUAUAAUAUCCACUUGGAGGGUUGUUAUGAAGAUUAAUGACAUAAGCAAACAUAUAGUAAAUGCCAAUGAUUUAGUUGUGUUUAUGUUUGCCACUUGUUUUAAUUACCAAGAGGCUUGGAAUGGGAGAGUAAAACCUCUGUUCCCUUAGGAAGCUUGAGGCCUACUAGCUUGUCUAGAUUGGUGAUUUUAGAUACCAGUUUAGUAGGCACUAAGAAAAUAGUUCAUAUAUGAUUCUGAAAGGGCAAACAAAAGAAAUGGGCAAUAAUAAAGACACUUUUUGGGAUAUUUAAAAUACAAAGGGCUUUGAUCUUUAAUUUUUGUUGACUUACAGAUGUGAUUUGAACAAAAAAGAUUAUUGAGAUAAAAAAAAGAAUUGAACCAAUGAACUGGAAUGGGGAAAUUAUGGCUUUUGAAGAGUGACAAUUCAAAAGAGAAACGUUGAAUGUUGAUAAUAUCUGUAAACACUCUGUGGUUGUGUGCUGAAAACUGGUAUGCUAUGUUCCCCUGUAUUUGUUUUAAUCUAAUUUUCACCUAACAAAGUUGUAAAAGUAGUAGUUUCUAUUCAAACGUAAGAAAGAAAUACAGGACCGAGGCCCUUCCUGCUUGAACUGUCUUAGGGACUUUCCCAUAAUGCCUAUAAUCCCAAAUGAUACAUUGUGAAUAUCUUUCUGCAGCAAUAUAUAUGUUUCCACAACAUUUUAAAGGAUAGCUUAAUAUUCAUUAUAUGGAUAUGUCAUAAUUUGUUUAAUGCAUCAUUUAUUAUUAGACAAUUUCAUUGCAUUUUAGCUUUCCCCUUUUACAUACAAUGAUGUGAUGACCAUCUUUAUACCAUCAUUUUUAUGUACCUUGCUGGGUGUGCUGGUGCUGAGCAUUUUCUUACUUGGCUCAUUUUAUCCUCAGGACAGCCAGUGUGAUGGCUAUUACUAUUAUCUCCAUUUCACAUACCAGGUGUUGAAGUUCUCAUUCAGUAAUUUGUAAUUUUUAUUUAGCUCAUCAGUGGAAUCAGGACCUGAAACCAGAUUCUAUUGACGUCCUGAUUGGCUCUUAACUGCCACACUGUAUUGAUCUUUUAAAUUACUGCCUUCAGCAAAUUUCUAGACCUGGACUUUCUGGUUAAGCAGAGAUGCACAUUUUAAAGAGUUUUGAUACAUAGUAGCUAAUUGCCUUCCAGAAAAGUAUUUACAUUCUGCUCCCAGUGCAGGGGCGUGGAGCUCAUUUCCCUGCCCCAAUCAAUACUGGCUUUUAUAGUUAAAAAAAAAAAAAAAAAAAA